rnacentral:rRNA from 1 species
AACGCGAAGAACCUUACCAGGUCUUGACAUCCUCUGACAACCCUAGAGAUAGGGCUUCUCCUUCGUGAGCAGAGUGACAGGUGGUGCAUGGUUGUCGUCAGCUCGUGUCGUGAGAUGUUGGGUUAAGUCCCGCAACGAGCGCAACCCUUGAUCUUAGUUGCCAUCAUUUAGUUGGGCACUCUAAGGUGACUGCCGGUGACAAACCGGAGGAAGGUGGGGAUGACGUCAAAUCAUCAUGCCCCUUAUGACCUGGGCUACACACGUGCUACAAUGGACGGUACAAAGAGCUGCAAGACCGCGAGGUGGAGCUAAUCUCAUAAAACCGUUCUCAGUUCGGAUUGUAGGCUGCAACUCGCCUACAUGAAGCUGGAAUCGCUAGUAAUCGCGGAUCAGCAUGCUGCGGUGAAUACGUUCCCGGGCCUUGUACACACCG